AUUGAACGCUGGCGGCAGGCCUAACACAUGCAAGUCGAACGAGUGGCGGACGGGUGAGUAAUUUCUUGGAAACUGCAUGAUGGAGGGGGAUAACUACUGGAAACGGUAGCUAAUACCGCAUACCAUCAGAUGUGCCCAGAUGGGAUUAGCUUUUUGGUGGGGUAACGGCUCACCAAGGCGACGAUCCCUAGCUGGUCUGAGAGGAUGACCAGCCACAUGGGAACUGAGAAACGGGCUAGACUCCUAAGUGAGGCAGCAGUGGGGAAUAGUGCACAAUGGGAGCAAGCCUGAUGCAGCCAUGCCGCGUGUAUGAAGAAGGCCUUCGGGUUGUAAAGUACUUUCAGCGGGGAGGCGUUACAUGCAGAAGAAGCACCGGCUAACUCCGUGCCAGCAGCCGCGGUAAUUC
rnacentral:rRNA from 1 species